rnacentral:lncRNA from 12 species
GCCAUUUUUCGCCUGUACAGCUCCAGGGGAGUGCGAGACGGCGUGUAUGGCAAAGGCAGAGGAAUGAACUGAGACUGGAGUGGGCGGGAGUAGGGGAACAAUCUCUCUGUGUCCCCCCGACAGCAGCAAGUAAAGGGGGAGCUUGGGGGGAAUCUGAACAGCCCCCGAACUCUGCAGCUGUCCCCGCCGGUCCGGGCUCUCGCCGACCGCUUUCCCCACUAGCGGUGGAGCUCACACUUUGAAGGACGGCUUUAUUUUCCUCAGUGCGAAAGAUUUGAGUUCAUGUUCCAAUCCCAUUGGAAAAAAAAAAAAAAAAAAAAAAAAAAAAAAAAAAAAGGAGAAAGAAAUGCACAACUUUAGAUGGCGCUGUACAACAUUUAUUUAAGCCCUCCGAGUAUUCCCGGCUUCUCGGCCUGCAGAGAGAAGAGCCCUCGGCGGGCAGUGGCGGUCUGGGCUGCCCCGGCAGAGGCGGUCUGGGCUGGGCGGGGAUGGGGUGGGAUACGCUGGGGUAGGAUGGAAGGGGAUGAGGUUAGGGGGGUCCUGCCCCACCGGCAGCGGGCACGGAGGGCAGGGGUCUCCAUCCCCAGUCUGCGCCUCCAUCCCCGGACGGUGAUAGCAAACGGCAGCUCUAAGCAGGAGGAGUUAAAAAGCACGAAAAUGGCAGAAGCCAUCUCCCCCUCGCCCACUGCUCCCCUUCUCAAACAGACAGGAACCCCCUAAUGCCUCCGACAGGGCGCGGAGGGGGCAGCUGCAGGCUGCGCGGCCGGGAGCGCUGCUGCUUGCCCCCUUCCGCCCCCCGCUCCCACUGACCUCCCCCGAAGGCCCCCGACAGGGCGCGGAGGGGGCAGCUGCAGGCUGCGCGGCCGGGAGCGCUGCUGCUUGCCCCCUUCCGCCCCCCGCUCCCACUGACCUGGGCACGGCAUCGCCCCAUCCUCCGGGCAGAUGCAGAAGAAAGGGUUCCCCGGCUCCAGCUCUGCUGGCUUGUCCUCUUCGCCCUGCCGGCUGCGGGCCUGGGGCGGGGAUAGAGAAGAGCAGAAAGAGGAGAAGGAAAGCCGACAAGCCUCGUCGAGGGGGACGCGCGGCUCUCACCUGCCUCGGCGCCCGGUUUCAUCCUCAGCGAGGAGCGGAAUUCCGUGUACUGCCCUCGGCUCGGCCCCACGCAAGGCCCGCGUGGGCCCGGGCCUGGCUCUCCUCGACGGCUUGACCCCCCCCCCCCCCCCCCCCCCCC